rnacentral:rRNA from 1 species
UACGUAGGGUGCAAGCGUUAAUCGGAAUUACUGGGCGUAAAGCGUGCGCAGGCGGUUUUGUAAGUCUGUCGUGAAAUCCCCGGGCUCAACCUGGGAAUUGCGAUGGAGACUGCAAGGCUAGAAUCUGGCAGAGGGGGGGUAGAAUUCCACGUGUAGCAGUGAAAUGCGUAGAGAUGCGGAGGAACACCGAUGGCGAAGGCAGCCCCCUGGGUUGACACUGACGCUCAGGCACGAAAGCGUGGGGAGCAAACGGGG